GGAUGUAAGGGUGAUCUGGUUGUGAUAUCUGUUACUCUAUUGAUUGCCAGGAUUGAUUCGGCUGAUCUGGCUGGUUAGGUGGAUGUCACCUUCCCCCCCCCCCCUCUCUGCUCCAUGUGCCUCUCUCCCAAAGCUGUGUGCUUGGUUGAAGAGGACGGACUUCCUGAAUAGAGGUGGACUGGUCUUCUGUGGAGGGUACACGAGUAGCUGUGUUCCCCUGCUAGAAUCUUCAAACAAGUUCUCAAGAGCCCCUCUGUAGUAAGUGGCAGGGACUCAGAGGUGGUUGAUCUGAGCUACCUCAUUUUACCAGUCUUUAACACCAAGAGGAAGGGACCUUGUA
rnacentral:snRNA from 1 species